UACGGAGGAUGUGAGCGUUAUCCGGAUUUACUGGGUGUAAAGGGAGCGUAGACGGCAUGGCAAGUCUGGAGUGAAAGCCCGGGGCCCAACCCCGGGACUGCUCUGGAAACUGCCAGGCUAGAGUGCUGGAGAGGUAAGUGGAAUUCCUAGUGUAGCGGUGAAAUGCGUAGAUAUUAGGAGGAACACCGGUGGCGAAGGCGGCUUACUGGACCGUAACUGACGUUGAGGCUCGAAAGCGUGGGGAUCAA
rnacentral:rRNA from 1 species